rnacentral:tRNA from 1 species
GGAGGGGUGGCUGAGUGGCCGAAAGCAGCGGUCUUGAAAACCGCCGACGGGCGACCGUCCGUGGGUUCGAAUCCCACCCCCUCCGCCA